GAUGAGCCCGCGUUGGAUUAGCUAGUUGGUGGGGUAAAGGCCUACCAAGGCGACGAUCCAUAGCUGGUCUGAGAGGAUGAUCAGCCACAUUGGGACUGAGACACGGCCCAAACUCCUACGGGAGGCAGCAGUGGGGAAUAUUGGACAAUGGGCGCAAGCCUGAUCCAGCCAUGCCGCGUGAGUGAUGAAGGUCUUAGGAUUGUAAAGCUCUUUCACCGGGGACGAUAAUGACGGUACCCGGAGAAGAAGCCCCGGCUAACUUCGUGCCAGCAGCCGCGGUAAUACGAAGGGGGCUAGCGUUGUUCGGAAUUACUGGGCGUAAAGCGCACGUAGGCGGAUAUUUAAGUCAGGGGUGAAAUCCCGGGGCUCAACCCCGGAACUGCCUUUGAUACUGGGUAUCUUGAGUGUGGUAGAGGUGAGUGGAAUUGCGAGUGUAGAGGUGAAAUUCGUAGAUAUUCGCAGGAACACCAGUGGCGAAGGCGGCUCACUGGACCACAACUGACGCUGAGGUGCGAAAGCGUGGGGAGCAAACAGGAUUAGAUACCCUG
rnacentral:rRNA from 1 species